rnacentral:rRNA from 1 species
AUUAGUGUUAUAAUAUAUAAUGUAUAUACUAAUGCAACUGCGAAUAGCUGUUUAAUACAGUCGUAAUUGUAUUGACUUAGUAUAAUGUUAAUAAUAGUUAUUUAUAGGAUAACUAAGGGAAAGUUUGGCUAAUACGUUUUAACAGUAUUAUAAUUCUUAAUACACAUAUAAUAAUAUUAUAAUAUGAUAAAUAUUAUAUAAAUAUUUUAAUACAUUUAUUUGUAUUAAUAUAUAGAGUUGACUUUAUAAUAUUUAUUUAUUAUAAAGCAUGUCAAACAAGCAUCUAUAGCAUCAAGUCACAAUGUUGGCAUGUGUAUUAUUGAACCUUCAAAGCAUUUACGCAUUCGGAGGAGUAGUUUCUGAUCCCGUCGAAGGUGCCUGAGAGACGGCACUUAGUUCUAAGGAACGCAGCAGGCGCGUAAAUUGCCCAAUGACAAAACAUGUUAUAAUAAAAUAUAUAAUGUAUAUAUAUUGAAUACUCAAUAUUUAAUUGAGGCAGUGACAAGCUGUAAAGAUUGAAUAUAUUAAUUAAGAUAACAUUUGGAAUUGUCGUUUUAUAAUAUUUUUUAAUAUUAUAUUACUUGAUAAUAUACCARUGUUAUAAAAUAUUCAAUUUGARUGCGGUGARUGUAAUAAUUUCAAGUAACAUGUAUAAAAUAUUUAUAUUUUAUUAGUUAUCUGAAUUUUCAAGUGGAGGGCAAGUCUGGUGCCAGCAGCCGCGGUAAUACCAGCUCCACUAGCUUAUACAAUCAUUGUUGCGGUUAAGAGGCUCGUAGUUGGAUUGAAUAAAACAUAUAUACACAAUACUGUGAACAAACCAGAGUGUAUAAAACAUGUAAUAUAUUAUAUAUUUAGCAAUGAAUGUUUUAUCAUGGAAUAUUGCUAUAAUGAAUAUUAAUAUCGAUGGAGAUAGUUGGAGUUAAGAGUACUGAUAGGCGAGCGGUGAAAUGCAUUGACCCUAUUAAGACUAACAAAAGCGAAAGCACUUAACUAGAUUAUUCUCUUUGUAUUAUUUUACAAUGAAGAGCGAAGGUUGGGGGAACAAAGAGGAUCAGAUACCCUCGUAGUCCUAUUUUUACAUCAAACUAUGGGAUUUCAUUCACACUAAACACUAAACAUUAUAAUUAUAAUUAUGAUUGAGUAUAUGUCAAAAUAUUACUCUCAUAUUAAAUAAUUAUUAUAUAUAUGAUUAUAUGUACUUUGAGCUCAUAUAAUUAUAUAGGUGAGAUGUAAGCAUUAUAAAGUGAAUAAUAUACAAGUAAUAUUGUAUUAUUAUGAUCUUUAAAAUAAAAAAUGUAAUGUGAUGCACGUUUUAGGUACGAGCUUACUAUAGAAAUAUUUAAAAUAAUACCCUCCUGGGGUAGUAUGCACGNNNNNNNNAAACUUGAAGGAAUUGACGGAAGGGCACCACAAGAACGCGUGGAGCAUGUGGCUUAAUUUGACUCAACCCGGGAAAUCUUACCAGGUCCAGACAUAUUGAGGAUUGACAGGCGAUAGUAUAUAAUUCAUUUAUAUGCAUAAAAAUGAUAGUCCUUUCAUGAUUAUAUGAUAGGUGGUGCAUGGCCGUUCUUAGUUCGUGGAGUGAUUUGUCUGCUUAAUUGCGUUUCAGUAAAUAAAAUAUAUAAUAUAUUAUAAUAUUUAGUUCUGCCUUGAAUAUUAUUCAAGGAUUUAAAGUGAACAUAUUAUAUAUAUUAUUAUAUAAUAAAUGAAUGCAA